CCAAUAGCGUAUAUUAAAGUUGUUGCAGUUAAAAAGCUCGUAGUUGAAUUUCGGGAUUGACGUGACGGUCGUGCCUUACGGGGUAUGAACUGUUGCUGUUGAUUUCUCACCUUCUGGAGAAACUUGAUGUCCUUAAUUGGGUGUCUUGUGGAUCCAGGACCUUUACCUUGAAAAAAUUAGAGUGUUUAAAGCAGGCAUUUUUGCUCGAAUACAUUAGCAU
rnacentral:rRNA from 1 species